CUUCUACAGCGGUUCUAUAUCUUUGUGCUAUUAUACGGCCGUUAUCUCCUCGCGUACACGGUCUGUCUGUCUACGCUACGUUCGUUUUUGAUUUCGCGGUUUGCACUUUGCACUGACUACGUCGCAAGUGAUAUUUUAUAUCUCUCACAGUCGAUCGGAUCUGCUCAGAAAUGGAAACGAUAGCCGAAGAGGCGAAUACGCCAAGUACAUCAUCUAAAUCCUUGAAUAAGGCACCAUGGCCGGCAUACAAAGAAAUUUUUGUAUUCGAACCUGAACUUAGUAAUGAGAAGAAUUAUGCAUUUACUUGCAAAUUAUGUUUAGGCAAAAAAAUUAUACAUGCUAGCAAAAGCUCCACAGCCAAUUUAAAGAAGCACAUAAGCAUUCUAAGGAAUGUACACAAUUGCACCGUAUAUUCUAGUUCA
rnacentral:lncRNA from 1 species